GAAAAUUCCAACUCUAGCUUUUCUUCAUGAGCUUUUAUCAUAGCUUCUACAAUAUGUUUAGUGAACGCUUUAUUUUGUUCAUAAGCAUUGGGUGAAUUUACCAUGGAUUGCAACCAGUGGCGGAUGUACAGGGUGGCCAAGGUGGGCCGAUUUGAAUGUGCCUAUAUACCUACUAUAUCUCUAAUUGGGACAAAGAGAAAAAACGGCCCAUUAUUAAACACAUUAAGCUAUGCAUGAAGGGCGGCCAACCAGCUAUGCCACAUGGCGCAAGCUAGUUGGCUGCGGUGAGAAAUCUUUUAGAAUUUUUUUUAGAUGAAGGUGUGGAUUAUUUUUUAAAUGGAUUUUUUUAUACGAUGGAGAUGAGGGCCUUUGGUAUUUUUUAAAUGAGGGGUUAUGCAAAGUGGCACUCGCCGGUAGGCUGCGGUGGUAUUUUUUUCUUUUUUUACAUGAAGGUAAGGAUUUUUCUGAGAUGUUUUUUUAGACGGAGGCAAGGACUCUAUGUAUUAUUUUGAAAUGAAAAUGUGCGCACAUCUUUCUCUCAAGCGGCGCCACAUGGUGGCACCCCAACCACUAGUUAACUUAUCCAAGGAUGAACACAUCACGGCCUGUCCAAGCACGAGCAGAACCCUCAUCUCGCCCGGUCGCCCCCCUCGCACAGAAACUACUCUGCGGCUCUGCCCGACCCCGACACCUAGCCGGCCAACCGCAUCGCCGUCGCCAUUCCUCGCGACUUCGUCGGUCGCCGGCCGGAGCCCAAAGUUCAGCCGCCCAGGAGGCUCCUGCCUCCCCUAGUCCCCUUCCUGUCUUCCCGCUCGGCCGCCCACCUGGUCCAGCUGCGACCCUGCCCUGCGGGCGGCUGCGCCCCUACAGACUGCGUUCUCGGCGUCCUGCUGGCCCGCCCGCCCCCCUACAGAGCCCCACCAUGGCGGCAAACCCCUGGCCAAUUUAAGGUACCGGCUAUGUGUAUUGACUUUACUGGCUAUAACAGGAUAUGCUCAAUUGUGCUGAAUGAAAAGUUGUCGGCUUACAAGAGCGGCUGAAAAAUGAAAGAAGUACGGGUGAAAAGGCCGAGUCAUCAACUGGUUCUUUGGAUAAAUCUUUAUUAAUUGCUUCUGAAAAUUUGAGCUCUUUAAAGACCUCUCAUCAGGAAGAAAAAUCAUCAUUGUGGAAGCGUGCUGAGGACACAGAGGGCCGGCUUGAGCCGGUCACUGCGGAGCUAAACAUGUUGAAGUGCCAUAUUACCCAUAUGACGCCAGCUAUCUUUGGUACGAGAAGUGGAAAUCUUCGCCAGACACCUCUGGUGAACUUAAAAGCCGUAUACACCUUCAUUGAGUAGCUGUAUGCAGGGAGCCUGUUUACCAUAAUGGUUGUGAAGGGUGGACAAGAGCCACCACAAUUAAUAAAAGAUGUGCUGAAACAA